GGCGCUGGCGUGGCGGCCUCCGGGCGCCUCCUCACCUUCUCUUCCACGCAAUUGACAAUGAUGGACGGGUACUUGCGGCUGAGCCAGCGAAAGAAAGCCGGGACUCCCAUAGCGGCGGCGCAGCUGUAGGCGGCUGCCCGGCCCGCGAACGGACGUAACCAGAGAGACAGGCAGCAGCGGGCCGCGGGCACAGGCACUUCCUCCCACGUGUACCCGGCGACAGGAAGUGAGGUGCCGACUCCCUGGAGCUCCUGGCUCCUGUGGCCAGAGAAAACCCCCGAGUGGAGCCACAAGCUGCCCGACGGGGAGGCUGCAGGCCCGGCCUGGAGCGCCAGGGUGUGGUGGGCCCAGCGCCUGCGACACUGACCACCCCUGUGACCCCCGUAUCUACAAGGCAUGGCCUGCCAGCGCCGCGAUGACUCCUGAGAUGUGACCCCAUCUAAUCCUCGCACCAACCUGGCGGAUUAUUCCGUGAAGGCAGAUUCCAGCCUUUAGGUGGGAAGAGUGCUGAGAAAAGACGAGGACACAUCGUGCAGCAGCACUGCUGCUCUCUCGGCGGGACCCUGGCCCUCCUGAUGCAAGAAACCCUGGGAACACAUCUCUGUCACUUUGGGUCAAGUCUGGCUAACUUACGGUUUGAAAAUCUGCCUUUUGCCAUAGCUGCCAUAAUUUACAUUUUUUUUUUCAGUAAAACAAGCUCCAUGAAGGCAUAAUUUUCUAGGCAGUCUGUGCUCUGUCAAUGCUCCAUUUAAACUUGGUGCCUGUUUCUUUGUUUUGAUUGAAAUAUAGUUGAUGUACAAUAUUAUAUGAGUUACAGGUAUACAACAUGGUGAUUCACAAUUUUUAAAGGCUAUACUCCAUUUAUAGUUACUGUAAAAUACUGGCUGUAUUCCCUGUGUUGCACAAUGUAUCCGUACCUCUUAAUCCCUUCCCCCUGUCUCGCCCACCCCCCAGCCCCCUGCACUGGUAACCACUAGUUUGUUCCCUGUAUCUGGUUUUUUUAAUAAAUUUUUAU